UACGGGGGGAGCAAGCGUUGUUCGGAUUUACUGGGCGUAAAGGGCGCGUAGGCGGCCAGCGCAAGUCAGUUGUGAAAUCUCCGGGCUUAACUCGGAACGGUCAACUGAUACUGCGCGGCUAGAGUGCAGAAGGGGCAACUGGAAUUCUCGGUGUAGCGGUGAAAUGUGUAGAUAUCGAGAGGAACACCCGCGGCGAAGGCGGGUUGCUGGGCUGACACUGACGCUGAUGCGCGAAAGCCAGGGGAGCGAACGGG
rnacentral:rRNA from 1 species